rnacentral:rRNA from 1 species
CAGUCGCCACGGUAAAACGGAGGGAGCUAGCGUUGUUCGGAAUGACUGGGCGUAAAGGGCGCGUAGGCGGCUGUUACAGUCAGACGUGAAAUUCCUGGGCUCAACCUGGGGGCUGCGUUUGAUACGUGAUGGCUUGAGUUCGGAAGAGGGUCGUGGAAUUCCCAGUGUAGAGGUGAAAUUCGUAGAUAUUGGGAAGAACACCGGUGGCGAAGGCGGCGACCUGGUCCGAUACUGACGCUGAGGCGCGAAAGCGUGGGGAGCAAACAGGAUUAGAUACCCGCGUAGUCCCUGUCUCUUAUAA